ensembl:ncRNA C36B1.15 ncRNA
UCUGCUUCAUUGUACGCAGAAACAGCAAACACGUAAUUUGUAUUUGGCGCUGAAAUCAGUUUGAGUGAAAAUUUAAGUACGGCUACACUACAAGAACAACAGUUACGACAAUUUCGAAAAAGAAAUAUAGAAAAGUUGCCGAGAAACUUUAAUUCCAGUUUUUAGUUUUCUGAAAACCUCACAAAGUCUAGUAACAGUAAAUGAAGUGCUAUCUGGUCCUUCAAU